UUGUACAGUUGCAUACCCUUGUAUCAUCUUGUGUCCUUGAUGAUUAUAGAUGUAUUAAGGUAAAUGUAAAAGAUUAUUUUGGAGACAAUAUGAUGUAAAGAAAAGAAAUGAUGAAAAGAAUUGUGAUGUAAUAGUUGAUUACUCGUAAAUGGUUAAAAGUUAAUCAUCUUACUUGUAUGAAGUAUAUAGUUUAGAAAUUCUUUCACUUUGGCUAUUGCUUACCCUCGUGUAAGUCGUAUUUGCAUGUUUCCGCUAGUGCAUUCAUAUUGAUUGAAUUGUACAGGUGUUGAGCCUUGAGCGGACAGGGGAGGCUCUGUCCGUUCGGCUGGGUUUUGUAUAUCAUGUUUAAUAGCUCGAAUUCGUGGAUUUGCAUGUUCUUUGGAAUCUAAAUUUGGAGCAUAGUUAUUGGUUUAAACAAAUCAUACAUGGUGGACUUGGAAUUGACUUAGGAGAAAAUGAUAGGUUCUACACUGUCAUUUUCUGAAAACUACCAGAUUUAGCUUUACGAGCUGUAGUUUAUUCGUAUCACCCAGUUUGUAGACGGUGGAUAUCCAGAAUAGUGUAGAAUUGAAUUAUGCUCAUGCUAGGAUGCCGAGUUUAUUUCUAUAGUAGUGUUUAGACUGUUCCGGACUGUUGCCGUUGUGGUUGACGGUGGACCCAGUUUACUAUUUUUGCAUCAGAUUAUUCGGAGGGCAUGUAGAUUAUGGUUGUUAGACCAGUUAGACUCGGUGUAACCCCUAAGAUCUCGGUGAAUAUUGUGGACUUUAGCCAAAUUGACUAAAGUACUCGAAGGGAUUGGUUGGACGCGAUCCAUUAACGUUCCAACACUGUUGGAAGGUUUAAAAAUAAGCUUUAAAUGAGUUGGAAGGGUUUUGGCAUCGAACGACGCGAAAUAGGGCGGAAUCGAAGUCAAAAAUGACUUUCUGGAUGUCUUGUACCGGUACAAGACCAAUGGUUGUGCCGGUACAACCAGCGUAGUACAGUGGCUUGGAGCUGCCAGGCCUUGUACCGGUACAAGGGGCCUUGUACCGGUACAAGCCCUGCGUAACCGAGAGACCAGCCCUCGGGUUGGGCUGUCUGCCAGGCCUUGUACCGGUACAAGCCCUGCGUAACCGAGAGACCAGCCCUCGGGUUGGGCUGUCUCCCAGGCCUUGUACCGGUACAAGAAACCGUGUACCGGUACAAGGAGCCCGAACAGCAGGAAAUUGACCUAUUGCGAAUAUGAUUGGUUGGGGGGUUUAUUUGCAAUUGUUGCAAUAUAACAAAUACCCCAAACAUCUCUCUCUCUCUCCCAGCUGCUCUCUCUCCCUCUCUCAACCGUGCAUAGCAAAGAGAGAAAGAAAAGAAGAGAAGGAGAAGGAAAAGAGAAGAAGAGAAGGAAAAAAGGGGAAGAAAAGGAGAAGGAGAAAGAGAAGGAGACCAUGAAGGAGAUCUUCUUCCCCCUCUUCAUCUUCUUCCUCACCUUGGAGCAAGCAUAGAGAGGUAAGCCUCAAACCCUACCAUGGUGGAUUUCUAGGGUUAAGGUUUUAUGGUUUGGAAUUGGUUCAAAUGGAACCUAUUGGAGCUCAAGAGAUGGUUCUAGCUCACAUUGAAGCUUUGAACCAUGGAUUGCACCAUUGAUGCAAACCUAGGGUUAGAGUUUGGGUUUUGAACCCUAGAUCUUAGUUUUGAUCUCCCUACAAGCUUUAGAGCUUCAUAGUAGCCGAAGAACACAUGAAAUCCAUGGUUUCUUCGUAGUGCUCUAAUGGUGGAUUUCUAGGGGUUGUUCCAAAUGCCCUAGAAAUGGUUCAAAUGGUUUGGAAAUGGGAUUAGAGAGCUUCUUGGGUGGUUCUAAGCUUAAUUAUGCUUAGCUAUGAGAUCAAUCCCAAGAAAUUUGAUUAUGGCAUUGUUAGGGCACCGAAAUUGGGGCUUUUGCCUCCGGGUGUUUCUAAGGCAAAUUGGCCUUAUAGAAACCUAAUUGGGGACCUAACGAACGCGUUGAAACGCUCGGUUCGGCAAUCCGACGAGCGUACGCGAGGUUAUUGACGAAACGGUCGGUUUUGGUACAGAUAGCCGCAGCACGCGGAAUAAAGGUUUAAAAAUUAUGAGAUCGGAACUGGAGCACCUUGGAGUCAAGGAAUAAACUCCGGAAAAGACGGAUCACGGUUUGGAGGUCGUUUGGAAGUCACGCAAGAGUUCGGGCCAAACCGGGCAACGGUUGCCGCCGGAGGCCGAUUGCAAGUGACUACGAGCAAUCGGAGCGCGAGUUAAGGUGGGUUGGUUUACCGAAGCGACUAGGUCGCCUUUAUGUCUAAGAAAUUAAGAAUCCAUGUUGAUGCAUAUAAAUGUAAAUGGCAAGGAGAUCGCUCAGUUAGGCAAUACGAGCGGGAGUUUUCCCGUAUCGUGCAUUGUGUCCCAAACUUGGUACGAGAUGACAAGGACAAGGCUGACUGCUUUGUGCGUGGACUGCGGCCAGGCCUUUACAAGGCUGUGCUUGUACACAGGUUGCAGACUUUUGCUGAAGUCCUGGAUCGGGCCUUGUGGAUAGAACAAGGCGAGGCAUAUCUGCGAGAGGAGCGCGAGGCAUGUUACAAGGAAAAGGGGAAAGGACGACCAACAGGUGGAUCCAGUGGUCAGUCAAGUUCCCAACGGACUUCGACGAGUUCGCACUCGCGAUCCCGAGCUCCGGGGACAUACCGUAUUCGGUCCUCGGCGAAAUGUGCUAUCUGUGGAGGCCCUCAUUUUCCACAGUAGUGUGAGCAGCGAGAGGGCAAGUGCUUCAAGUGUGGGCUGCCGGGUCAUAUGCGAGACGAGUGUCCGCGUGGUGACGGACGGACCUUGGCACUGGCGACGGCGUAUUCCUCUCUGGGACAGCCUGCAGGUGUGCCCCCUGCGGCAUGGCCGGGAGAGCAGCCGUUGAGGACGAUGCAACCAGAGGGUUCGCGACGAGCGCCAGGUGGGCACGGAUAAGCUACCCGAAUCACGGAGCCUGCCGCUGCUGACGUCAUCAUGGCAGGUAUGAGUUAAUUGAGAAAGCAUGUGCUUUUACUAAUCUCAAGUUGGUGCAUAGCAUGCAUUUAUUGUUGGUCGGUUGCUACUAAUUAUAUUUAUUGCAUAGUAGGGACCGAAUAGUCAGGUAAGUAGACGCCCGUACAUGCUUGCAUUGUGAGAGGUGGCGCCUGCUGAUGCAGGUAGGAAGCCAAGUGGUGCUAGCUAAUGGCUAGUGAUGAUUCUCCGGUAAGGAAUGAGAUCCGUGGAGAACAUGGUCUAGUAAGUGACUCUCGAAAUAAUGGAUUGGAAAAAAAAAAAAAAUUGUGGAAGUUGAGCCUUAGUGUUGAGGAUACCCGAAAGAUUCGGGAGUUGAGAAUGUGUUCCGAUAGAUCGGACAGUGAAAGUAGAAUCACCGUGGUGAGAGUAGCCGUGUAGUUGACGGACGCGGGCCCGUUGGCCUAGUAAUACCUCGAAGUUGAGGUGGACAAGCUGUGCUCUUGUAGUGGACGUGCAUAGGCAAGCUGCCCGAUGCUGGAUUUCAUGUUAGACGCGGUAGAGGCGUAGAGCGCUCGAGUAUAAUUACUCGUGAGGUGCGGUUUCAAUUCAGCCAGUUGAGUGAGUUGGCAGUAGCACUUUAGCAGGGCUAAGUGUGAAGCGGGCCAUGGAUCACUCGUGGGGCUGGUGGCUCGCACAAGGUGCUUAAGAGCCGAUAGAGGUACUUGUAGCUCUGGUAGAGCAUGUCGUGUAAGACGACGUUGGCGGGUAGUGCUUGGGGACGACCCAUGCCUGGACCACUUGUGGACUGUGGAGCCUGGACCCAUUUGGCAGGCGCAGUCAGCUGUGAGAGACAGCGGCCCGGUACCUAUUGGUAGGGCGAGAGUUUUGGUCAGGACGGUAGUCCGAGCUUAGACCCGAGUACGUGGAAUGUCACGUGUUAGAGUGCGAGAUUGAUGAUGCACCGAGUGUGUAGUGACCCAACCCAAGGAUUUGAUGUGGAUUGGGGUCUUGAUAGCUCCUGGUUGGAGUGUGUGCGAGUUCUCCAAUGAGAAUGUCGCCCAAUGAUGAUUGGGUCUACGCUUGCGAGCGAGAGACGCUAGGCGUCGUUGAGACGAGUUUAGUUGGUAGGCCUACGUAGGGUGGGUGACUGUUGGUCCACCCGUAGAGACUGAUGGUCGGUGCGACCAAUGACUCCGUGAAUGAGCUUAGGCUCGAGUUGCGAACGAAGGGUUCGUGCAAAUCCACAGCUGGAGUAGAGUGGCGUUGAUCGUGGCUUAUGAUAUUAAAGGAUAAAGAGAAGCCGAAGUGCUCUUAUAAGGCCUUGAGCUAAUGAAAGCCACGUGAGAAUUGGAGUUGAAGUUAGUGGAUAAUCCUCUCAAAAGAGUUGAGGUUGAGACGCGCCGAAGUGUGCCGUCUCGUGAUAGGGCAAGGAUUCGAUUGAGAUUGAAGCACUCGCGAUGGGCCGAUGCACCAAUGAUUUUGUCGCUAUGCAAUGCCGGUGGUCGGAAUCGGAGUGGAAAGGUGCGUUGGUUCCCUCGAUAACUCGAUAGAUCGAGUGGAGAUGUGGUUUGAAUUUCGCGGACGAAAUUCUUUUAAGGUGGGGAGAAUGUAACCCCCAAGAUCUCGGUGAAUAUUGUGGACUUUAGCCAAAUUGACUAAAGUACUCGAAGGGAUUGGUUGGACGCGAUCCAUUAACGUUCCAACACUGUUGGAAGGGUUAAAAAUAAGCUUUAAAUGAGUUGGAAGGAUUUUGGCAUCGAACGACGCGAAAUAGGGCGGAAUCGAAGUCAAAAAUGACUUUUUGGAUGUCUUGUACCGGUACAAGACCAAUGGUUGUGCCGGUACAACCAGCGUAGUACAAUGGCUUGGAGCUGCCAGGCCUUGUACCGGUACAAGAGGCCUUGUACCGGUACAAGCCCUGCGUAACCGAGAGACCAGCCCUCGGGUUGGGCUAUCUGCCAGGCCUUGUACCGGUACAAGAAACCGUGUACCGGUACAAGGAGCCCGAACAGCAGGAAAUUGACCUAUUGCGAAUAUGAUUGGUUGGGGGGUUUAUUUGCAAUUGUUGCAAUAUAACAAAUACCCCAAACAUCUCUCUCUCUCUCCCAGCUGCUCUUUCUCCCUCUCUCAACCGUGCAUAGCAAAGAGAGAGAAAAGAAGAGAAGGAGAAGGAAAAGAGAAGAAGAGAAGGAAAAAAGGGGAAGAAAAAGGAGAAGGAGAAAGAGAAGGAGACCAUGAAGGAGAUCUUCUUCCCCCUAUUCAUCUUCUUCCUCACCUUGGAGCAAGCAUAGAGAGGUAAGCCUCAAACCCUACCAUGGUGGAUUUCUAGGGUUAAGGUUUUAUGGUUUGGAAUUGGUUCAAAUGGAACCUAUUGGAGCUCAAGAGAUGGUUCUAGCUCACAUUGAAGCUUUGAACCAUGGAUUGCACCAUUGAUGCAAACCUAGGGUUAGAGUUUGGGUUUUGAACCCUAGAUCUUAGUUUUGAUCUCCCUACAAGCUUUAGAGCUUCAUAGUAGCCGAAGAACACAUGAAAUCCAUGGUUUCUUCGUAGUGCUCUAAUGGUGGAUUUCUAGGGGUUGUUCCAAAUGCCAUAGAAAUGGUUCAAAUAGUUUGGAAAUGGGAUUAGAGAGCUCUUGGGUGGUUCUAAGCUUAAUUAUGCUUAGCUAUGAGAUCAAUCCCAAGAAAUUUGAUUAUGGCAUUGUUAGGGCACCGAAAUUGGGGCUUUUGCCUCCGGGUGUUUCUAAGGCAAAUUGGCCUUGUAGAAACCUAAUUGGGGACCUAACGAACGCGUUGAAACGCUCGGUUCGGCAAUCCGACGAGCGUACGCGAGGUUAUUGACGAAACGGUCGGUUUUGGUACAGAUAGCCGCAGCACGCGGAAUAAAGGUCUAAAAAUCAUGAGAUCGGAACUGGAGCACCUUGGAGUCAAGGAAUAAACUCCGGAAAAGACGGAUCGCGGUUCGGAGGUCGUUUGCUAAGUCGCGCAAGAGUUCGGGCCAAACCGGGCAACGGUUGCCGCGGGAGGCCGAUUGCAAGUGACUACAAGCAAUCGGAGCGCGUGUUAAGGUGGGUUGGUUUACCGAAGCGACUAGGUCGCCUUUAUGUCUAAUUAUUAGACUUUCAUGUUGAUGCAUGUUGAUGAUCGGCAUAGUUGAUGCUAAGUAGAAAUGCAUAAUAUGAUGUAGAUGCUAAAGUUGAUGCAUAUAAAUGUAAAUGAUGCAUGUAGCUAAAUAAUGCAUGAUGAUAGUGUGAUGUAAUUGCUAAAUAGAAUGCAUUAUGAGCAUGUUGAAUAAAGCUAGAUAAUUAUGUGAAUGCAUGUAAGCAUAAUGCAUAGAAUGAAAUGCAUAUUGAUGAUAUAAGUUAAAAUGAGAUAUAGAAUGCAUGUUGACAUUGUGAGAUAAAUGUGCAUGAAACUAGGUUGAUAACCCUAGAAUGAUUAAAGUGAAUGAUGCUAUGCUAAAGUAUAAGUGAUAAGCAUGAUAUAAGAAUAGUAAAUGCAAGUGCAUGUUAAGAAUGCUAAGUAAGGAACAUAUAUAGGUGGACAUGAAUAAACCUAUAGAUCGAGUGGCAUUAAACCUAGUGUCGAGGACAUAGGUUAAAUAAAUGAGAUGUUGAACCUAAUGUAAAGAACAUAGGUUAAAUAAGAGGGAUGUUGAACCUAAUGUAAAGGACAUAGGUUGUGAAAUGAAAGCUGCUUAACCUAGAGUCAAGUAAACCUAGGUUGGAAAAGAAUGAUGAUCCUAGUGUAAUAAACCUAGGUUAAGAAUGUGAAAGCAAUAAACCUAAAGUAAUAACUUAGGUUGUGUAAAGGACAAUGAACCUAGAGUCGAUUGGACCUAGGAGAUAAAUGCUUAGACCUAGAGAGGUCAGUUCCAUAGGGUUAAGACCAACCCUUGGUUGAUGUGAUAUGGAUUCCGGAAUCCCGCUGCUUGCUGCUACACCCAAAGUGGUGUCGGGUGUGUGCGACGAUUUCGCCGCCCAGGGGCUAGAGAACCAUUGUCGUGGCGUGUGUGCGACGAUUUCGCCGCCGGAUGGUUAGCCAGUUUGUGGAUCCUACCGCCUGUUGACUGAACCACUGUCGUGGCGUGUGUGCGACGAUUUCGCCGCCGGGUGACUAAGUCAUUGAACCUAGGCCGUUGUUGGGUGAGGUGCGAUUCGUUCGCCGCCAGACGGCUAGGACAGGAGUACGGUGAGCUGUUGCCAGCUGAGGUGCAUGUGAGAGUUCCUUCACCUCGAGCUAGACAGUGCGCGGACUAUCCGCGAUUGAUUGACUCAAGACCGAGUCGGGUGGCUUUGUUGACUAAGGUAAAGUGACCUUAGAGUAGAAUGCCAAAGGCUAAGAUAUAGCAUGGUUCAAGAAUGUUAAGAGUAAAGAAUAGCUAAAGAACAAAGAGUGGCUAAAGAAUAAUGAAUAGCUAAAGAAAGGAAUAGCUAAGAGCUAAAAGUAAGCAUCAAAUGGCAAAGAGUAAAGAAUGAUUAAGAACAUAAGUAGUGUUAAAGUAACCUACUUGCAUGAUUCCAGAUAUUGCAUAUUGCAUUUCGUGAGGCAGGACAUGUAUUUCAAUUGAAUAUAUAUAUGUGUUAUAUUGUUGAUCUAACAUGUUGCAGUGCCUCGUUAGACCUGUUGGCUGAGCUUGUUCUCUUGGGUGGCUAAACCCACUGAGGACUAUGGACAAUAGUCUCACCCCCGUGUUGCUGUUUUGGGGGUACAGGUACACACGUGUGCGGCGCGGCGGCGCAAGGCGAGGACGUAGUUCUGCAGAUAGCGUCCUACCCAGAGACUGAGAUAGCAGUACCCGAGUUGGUGGUCUAGCUUGGGAGGUUUAAAGACAAGAACAAACUUUCGUUUAAGUUGUAAAAGAAUCUGUAAUAAUUAUGGUUGUAUUUGGAGGUUCACUGUAAAAGAAAAAUUAUGUUGUAAAAUGCAUCUAAGUUAAAUGCUGUAAUAACUUAGUAGGUUAUGUUUUCGAUACUUCCUUAUGCAAUCUGUGAAUGCAUACUGUUCCUGUUUGGAACCUCUCGUAUUGUUUUGAUUGCGACGCCUUGGACGUACAGGGGAGACUCUGUCCGUUCGGCGGUCUGUCGGCGGCGCCGCGACCCGGCCAAAUAGGCAGGUGGUCGCGGGGCAUGACACUCGGUUUGCUUUGACUUUAGCCUGUGAGAGCCUGAUUGAGCUUGGCAGAGAUACGCUUGCUUACUCGGUUGGGUAGCGCCCAUGAGCGCCACUCCGGAGUCAGGCUUUGUGCUUGUGCGUUAUUGUCGUUGUGUCCUGGUUGGACUCGCUCUCCACUGACGACCCAGCGUGGUGGUAGUUAGUGUAGCUUCGACACGCGGGACGGGUGUAUUUAUAGCCCCUAGUGUAAUGUACCGAAAAUUCGAAAAAUAAAUAUCGAACUUUAGUAAAAUUGACCAAAGUGCGAGGAUGGUACACUUCGGAAAGUCCGAAGGUGUUAAAGUGAGUAAAAGUGCGUUGUGGGAGGUUUUCGAGAGCUAAAGAAUCAAACAUCUGCAAACUGUAGUUUUUGAGCUCUCGGGGACCGGUCCCUUGUGGGAGAGACCGGUCCCCGAACGCGUGAGAAAUGAGAAAAGCUGAAAAUCGGCUAAGUCCCAGAAGACCAACUCUCGGGAACCGGCCCCUGCGGGGAGAGACUGGUCCCCGAGAGACCGAUCCCCCAGUGAGAGACCGGUUGCGUCGCGCGUGCACCCUGCUGCCCGCGGGGAGAGCUCUCUGGGACCGGUCCCAAGUCGGGGAGACCGGUCCCCGAGCACAAAAAGUGCCCAGUUCGGGCAGUGUAUCAAGAUGAUAGUUGAGGGGUUUAACUGCAAUUUUGCAACCCAUAGAGUAUAGUAUGGGGGAAAAUGAGAUGUUUCUCAUUUCACUCCCCCCUCACACUCUCUCAUCUCUCUUUCUCUCUCUAGAAGACAAGAAGGAGAAGAAAGGAAAGAAGAAGAAGGAGAAGAAAGGGAGAAAGAAGGUGAAGAAGAAGGCAAGGAGGAGAAGAAGUGUCACGCCCCGAGACCGCUACCAAUUUGGUCCGGCCCGGGCGCGUCGAACAGACGCUGAACGGACAGGACGUCCCCGUCCGCCCAAGGCUAACCAAAUGAUCAUAUAUAAGAAUUUACCGAGAAAAUCAAUUCAUAAAUACACGAUCAAGAAGCACCACCAGUUCGAACGAGAGCAAGGUACAAGUAUGAAAUAUACAAGUAGAUAAAGAGAGAAGGUUCUAUCUAUUAUAGUUAUUCAACUCAAUACAUAUAAUUCCAUCUUUUACAUUCUUCCGAAACAUAAAUACAACCACUCAACCCUCACCCUAUACAGCAUCUACUCUCAAACAUAGAUACAAGGUGGAGCUAAUGCAAAAUAGGUGGAUAGCUAAUGCAACUAGGGCGCUAGGCCCUUACCGCGAUCCUCGCGCUCGCCCGGGACGCCCGAGCUCGAACCUGAAAAGAGUGGGGUGAGAACUAUCUACCAUAGUUCCCAGUGGGUUCGGCCGCCGACUCCGCCGGUCUCCCCACUAGGUCCAAGUGGGCACAAGUAGAUGAACAGAUAGAUAGAUAUAUAUAUGGAAAACUGUAAUAACAGAAGAGCAAGCUACGCUACCGUGCCCGAAUCAUGUAUAUAAUGGAUGCAUGCACAAUGAAAUAGAUAAUCAACUAGCUCUUCAUAUGUCCAAAAAGGUAAGGCUAUUUACUAGUUCAUCAAUCUCGUGGCUUACUCAAGGAUCCAUCCAUUACUCAUCUAGCCGUUUCAAUUACUACACAUCCAAGACCGUCUGAGGGACCCCAAAUAGGCUAUCCCUCGGGACCCCAAGUAGGCCAUCCCUAUCCCACGGGACCCCAAACAGGCUAUCCCUCGUGACUGACUCCGGAGCGCACUACUUGUGUGGAGCGACCACCACAAGUCGGGAACAGACAAUGAAUAUGAUCCAAAUCUCCCAUCUCACGGGUGCUCUAUCCACUAGGGUUACUGUCACCAUAGUCAAUGGGUUUCAUAUACGCUAUGACUCACAUAUGCCACUCGUUCUUUUUAUUUCAACUAUUGCAUCAUUCUUUCACCGCUACGCUGUAGGAUUUCAAGUCUCGACCCAAUCCUCGUCAAUCCCCUAUAUUCAGCAACUAAUGCAUAAUACAAUAUCAAUUAGGAAAGCAUAAGGAAAGGCGAUGCCCAAUUAUCCUACAAUGCAUGUAAACAUAGGAUGCAAGUUCCGAAAACACUAAGACAUAAAAGGGAGCCCGAUUGCUUCUGGAUGGACACCACCCACCUCUUGGCGAUGCCGCGACGGUAGAAAACUCGACACUGCGGUCCUUGCACGUCGCCUUAACUCCUCGGGGCGAAGCGAGCCCUCGAGUACCCAAUUCAGCGAUUUCUCCGCACUCGCUCGUCGGAUCGACGAACCGUCUUCGCCGACGCGUUCCGAGACUUAGCAAUUUGGUUUGCGACCCAUCAAACUAGAUCAAAACCCUAAAUUUGCCAAAAUCCCAAAUCCGUGCCCUAGAAUGGCAAUGAGGGGGAAAUCCGUGGUGCGAGCUUCAAUUGCGAGCUCGAACCAUCUAUUCAUCUCCUCUAGGUCCCAUUUGAACCAAUUCUAAGCAACAAAAACCUCAAACCCUAAAAACACCAUUAGAGGAUUUAGAGCUUACCUCUAAGCCAAGCUCCAAGCUUGCUCUAGCUUGAAGGAGAGAGGGAAGAAGACCUUCUUCUUCUUCUUCUUGUCUUCUCCUUCCACUUCUUUUCUUUUCCUUCCUCUCCUUUUUCUCCUUCUUUUUCUUCUUUCUUUUUUUUUUUCUAGAGAGAGAGAGGGAAAGAGAGCAAAUGAGAGGGAGCGAAAGGGCCCCAAGCCUUCAUAUAGGCUAUUUUGCAGAUAGCCCCCUCAACUUUUCAUUCUUUGAAACAGCCCUCACUCGGCCAUUUUCGCAGUGAGGGACCGGUCCCAGCUCGGGGAGACCGGUCCCCGAAAGCUGCACAAUCAGGCAGAGGGGAUUUCGCGUUCGGGAACCGGUCCUUGCCUGAGAGACCGGUCUGGGGGAGACCGGUCCUUGUCCGAGAGACCGGUUCCCGAGAGCUGGGUUCUCGGGACUUCACCAAAUUUCGGCUAAUUCUCGCUGGGCCAACGUUCGGAAACCGGUCCUUGCCUGCCAGGGAUCGGUCUCAUCAGAGACCCCCGCAGCCCAGCUUGAUGGGACCGGUCCCUCCCUGCCAGGGACCGGUCCCCGAGAGCAUUUCUGCUCCAGUGCAGAUUUCGCACUGGUGCUCCCGCGGACCUUUUCCUUAAUGCGUUUUUGGCAUUAUAAUCACCUUCGGACUUUCCGAAGCUUAGGCACUCGACAAAUAGUCGAUUCCAAUCGAAGUCUAAUCCUCGGAUUUCAAGGAUUCACUUCCUUACAUCCUCCCCACCUUAAAAGAGUUUCGUCCUCGAAACGAACUCAAUACUACAAAACUUACUUGGAAUCUUAAAUUGCUAAACUCAUACCUCGAUUUAAUCCUCAAACAGGCGAGGAUGAUUCGCCUUCAUCUCCUCCUCGAGCUCCCAGGUGGCUUCGCAAUCAUCAUGAUUGCUCCACCGGACUCGGACAUAAGGAAUUUCCCGAUUCCUUAACUUGCGCACCUCACGAGCGGUAAUCGCCACCGGAAACUCCUCAUAGCUCAGGUCCUCCUGAAGCUCCGGUGGUUCAUACAACAUCGCAUGCUCGGGAUCAGGAAUGUAUUUGCGAAGAUUGGAGACGUGGAAUACGUUGUGCACAUCCGUAAGUUUCGGCGGCAACGCAAGCCGAUAAGCCACCGUCCCAAUCCGUUCCAAGAUUUCAUAGGGGCCAAUAUAUCGGGGACUUAACUUUCUCCGAACUCCAAAUCGCUUAACGCCCCUCAUAGGAGAAACCUUCAAGAAAACGCGGUCGCCCAUCGUGAAUUUCAAAUCCCGUCGGCGCCUAUCCGCAUAGCUCUGCUGUCGGGACUGCGCCGUGAGUAACCGUUUGCGAGCAAGGCGGACCUUCUCUUCCGCCUCUCGCAAUACAUCAGGGCCAAAUUCCGUGCGCUUGCCCACAUCGCUCCAAUAAAUGGGAGAUCGACACUUCCGCCCAUAAGGAGCCUCGAACGGUGCCAUCUCCACACUAGCGUGAUAACUGUUGUUGUAGGCGAACUCGGCCAUUGGCAGGUACUUACACCAGCCCCCUUUGUAGUCAAUGACACACGCACGCAACAUGUCCUCCAGAGUCUGAAAGGUUCUUUCUGUUUGCCCGUCUGUCUGGGGAUGAAAUGCAGUUCUGAAAUCGAGCCGUGUGCCAAGGGCCUCCUGUAGGCUCUUCUAGAAAUGUGAAGUAAACUUGGGGUCUCUAUCGGACACAAUUGACUUCGGUACCCCAUGUAACCUCACUACCUCAUCAAGGUAUACCUGCGCCAACCUAUCUCCUGCCCAGGUGGUGUGGAUUGGCAAAAAGUGUGAAGACUUCGUCAAGCGAUCCACAAUCACCCAGAUUGCAUCAUGUUAGGUCCUAUGUGUUGGCAAGUUUCGUGGGUCGAGUCGGAGUCUUGAAGAAGUCCGGAGCGGAGUAUUGAAGAUCGAAGAAUCCAAGACUUCGAAGAAUCGGAAAGGAUGCAAAACACGUAAAACAUGAAUCACGAUGCUUAGGUAAGCUUUAAAUCUUGUUUUUGGUGAUUCAUACUUAAUUAUAGAUUUUAGAAUCAUGUUUUCAAGUUGUAAUUGAUUAGAAAGUUUCUAAGAGCUUGUAAAACUCGAAACAAUGCAUUUUCAGCGAAAAUUGCAUUGUUGUACCGGUACAAGAGUUUUCUGUCCAGGGUACAGCCAUCAGUGUUUGCGCAGAAAAGUUUGAUGGUUGUUCCGGUACAACCAUCACGGCUGUCCAGGGUACAAGCCCUGUUCCGGNNNNNNNNNNNNNNNNNNNNNNNNNNNNNNNNNNNNNNNNNNNNNNNNNNNNNNNNNNNNNNNNNNNNNNNNNNNNNNNNNNNNNNNNNNNNNNNNNNNNGAGGGACCGGUUCCCGAACGUUGUCUACGCGAGCUUGCUCUCGGGGACCGGUCCCAGGAGGGAGGGACCGGUUGCCCCGAGGCUGAGGGCUGUGGCAAGCGCGAGGCAACCGGUCCCUAGGCCAGAGGGACCGGUUCCCGAACACGUGAGAUUGAGGAGGUCCCUCUGGGACCGGUCCCAGGCAGGGAGAGACCGGUCCCCGAGCGUGAAAUUUGCCCAGGCAGGCUGGGUCAUGUUGGAGAGGUUGGAGAGCUUGAGGAUAAUGCUCUUUAUGGAUUACGAUUCGAGAUGCGCCGGAGUAGGCCAUCUCUCAAUAGAGCAAAGAUCCAAAUGCGAUUGGAGCACUCGCAGUGGGUCGAUGCACCAACGAUAUAGCUUCUAAGCGAUAUUGGUGAUCGAAUUGGAGUAUGACCCCUAGAGGGAUGGUGAAAGUGACGAAGAGUCGUGAAUGAGAAAUACGAACUCUUGGAUAGCCAAAGUGGCGGAGCACCACUUUGUUGACAUUCGGGUGAUUCGAGAGGGCUUACCCGUGUGUGCUGUGUCGUGGUGGUGGACCAUAUGACUAUUGGUGCAUUCUUGAUAGCUCCACACCAUGAGGAUAGCGGGUAGUCCCGUUCUCGAAGGAAGUGGUUUGGCCUUAGUGGGCCAGUUAGUGAAUGGUGUUGGAACGCGUAAAGUCGUUGAGUUUCGACUUGCGCUACCACUCGGAAUGACGGAGACCCGUAAUGCACUUUUGGACUUACACACAGCAAAUGUGAGCGAAUUUAGUCUCACGUCCUCCGUAGUGGGCCUUUGGAUAGUUCCAAUGAGCGAAAGGCCACUCCGAAAUGCAAAAGUGCACUGUACCCCUUGUUACUCGAUAAAGAGAAUUAGGGUGUGAAUUUGGUUUGAGGUGAGUUAGUUUCGAGGACGAAACUCUUAUUAAGGAGGGGAGGAUGUAAGGUAUCGGACUUCAAAAAUCAUGAAGUUACGAUGUAUAUUUGGUUGGAAGACCAUUUGAAAAGUUCCGGUGAAGUUCGGUGAAGUUCGGAAGCAUUCGGGCGAUUUGGUGCGCGUAGGCGCGGAAACGGAACCCGAAAGGCUAUGUUGGGCCGUGAGUUAAAUCCGGCAUUAGCGUUGAUGAAAAGAUGAUGAAAAUAUGCUCGAAAUCAUGUUUUGAGAGUCUCGGUUCGAUUUGAGACGAAUCGGAAGUCAAACGGGCGAAAACGGAGCGAAACGGAGCGAAAUAGGCAAAAGCUGAAAAUUGCAGUUUUCUGGUCCAUGGGGGACCGGUCCCUGCAUGGAGAGACCGGUUCCCGAGCCCGAAAAUGCCCAUUUUGGGCUGAUUGAGAGGUCAAGAGUUGAGGGGGCUUAUUGCACUUGUUACAUGACUUGGAGACAAAGAGAGGUGAUGGCACUCUCUCUUUCUCAUCCUCCCUCAACCGUAGCUCUCUCUCUCUCUCUAAAACUCUCUCUUUCUCUCUCUAAGAAGUGGAGCAAGAAGGUGGAGAUGGAGGAGAAAGCUUGAAGAAGUGGGUUUCAUCUUCUUCUUCUUCCUCUUAAGGCCAUUGGAGCAAGCUCUAAGGUAAGCUUUUGAUGCUCAACAAUGGUAGCUUUCUAUAGUUUGGGUUUUGAACUCCAAGAACGGAUUUAGAGGUAUUCUAGCUUGCUAAAUAGACGAUUAGAGCUUCGAUCUAAAGCUCUAAUGAUGGGUUUUCUCCCUAGUGAAACCUAGAGCUCCAAAAUGAGGGCUUCAAUGGUAGAUCUCUAAAGAUAGGUCUAGAUGCUUUGGAAAUGGUUUUNNNNNNNNNNNNNNNNNNNNNNNNNNNNNNNNNNNNNNNNNNNNNNNNNNNNNNNNNNNNNNNNNNNNNNNNNNNNNNNNNNNNNNNNNNNNNNNNNNNNNNNNNNNNNNNNNNNNNNNNNNNNNNNNNNNNNNNNNNNNNNNNNNNNNNNNNNNNNNNNNNNNNNNNNNNNNNNNNNNNNNNNNNNNNNNNNNNNNNNNNNNNNNNNNNNNNNNNNNNNNNNNNNNNNNNNNNNNNNNNNNNNNNNNNNNNNNNNNNNNNNNNNNNNNNNNNNNNNNNNNNNNNNNNNNNNNNNNNNNNNNNNNNNNNNNNNNNNNNNNNNNNNNNNNNNNNNNNNNNNNNNNNNNNNNNNNNNNNNNNNNNNNNNNNNNNNNNNNNNNNNNNNNNNNNNNNNNNNNNNNNNNNNNNNNNNNNNNNNNNNNNNNNNNNNNNNNNNNNNNNNNNNNNNNNNNNNNNNNNNNNNNNNNNNNNNNNNNNNNNNNNNNNNNNNNNNNNNNNNNNNNNNNNNNNNNNNNNNNNNNNNNNNNNNNNNNNNNNNNNNNNNNNNNNNNNNNNNNNNNNNNNNNNNNNNNNNNNNNNNNNNNNNNNNNNNNNNNNNNNNNNNNNNNNNNNNNNNNNNNNNNNNNNNNNNNNNNNNNNNNNNNNNNNNNNNNNNNNNNNNNNNNNNNNNNNNNNNNNNNNNNNNNNNNNNNNNNNNNNNNNNNNNNNNNNNNNNNNNNNNNNNNNNNNNNNNNNNNNNNNNNNNNNNNNNNNNNNNNNNNNNNNNNNNNNNNNNNNNNNNNNNNNNNNNNNNNNNNNNNNNNNNNNNNNNNNNNNNNNNNNNNNNNNNNNNNNNNNNNNNNNNNNNNNNNNNNNNNNNNNNNNNNNNNNNNNNNNNNNNNNNNNNNNNNNNNNNNNNNNNNNNNNNNNNNNNNNNNNNNNNNNNNNNNNNNNNNNNNNNNNNNNNNNNNNNNNNNNNNNNNNNNNNNNNNNNNNNNNNNNNNNNNNNNNNNNNNNNNNNNNNNNNNNNNNNNNNNNNNNNNNNNNNNNNNNNNNNNNNNNNNNNNNNNNNNNNNNNNNNNNNNNNNNNNNNNNNNNNNNNNNNNNNNNNNNNNNNNNNNNNNNNNNNNNNNNNNNNNNNNNNNNNNNNNNNNNNNNNNNNNNNNNNNNNNNNNNNNNNNNNNNNNNNNNNNNNNNNNNNNNNNNNNNNNNNNNNNNNNNNNNNNNNNNNNNNNNNNNNNNNNNNNNNNNNNNNNNNNNNNNNNNNNNNNNNNNNNNNNNNNNNNNNNNNNNNNNNNNNNNNNNNNNNNNNNNNNNNNNNNNNNNNNNNNNNNNNNNNNNNNNNNNNNNNNNNNNNNNNNNNNNNNNNNNNNNNNNNUUAUAUGAUGUUUAUGAUCAAUAUAGCAUUAUGAUAUAGAUAUAUGAUGUAAUGGACAUAAGGAUUAUGAGAUGACAUUGGUAAACCUAUGAUGCUAAAUGAAAGAAGAACCUAGUGUUGUUGUAUUUAAAGACAUAGUUUACAAGUGGCAUUGAACUCAUUGUGCUAAAAACACAUAUGACUUGAACUAGUAAUGGAUUGGUUGUUGUACUAGAAACUCUAGUUAACAUUGAUCAAGUUGCAUAUUGGGAUAUUGCAUUAUAGGGUACUAGUUGGCAAUUGUUACAUGUCAUGGCAUGCUAGUGGGAGUGUAGUGUAACUUGAUUAAUACUUGUACCUAGUAUGCAUGAGAUUGGGACUUAGUGUGGUGAAACCCUAUAAGGGCAUGAUUAAUGUGGAUUAAACUGUAGUUGAAUACAUUAAUCGAUCAAGUUGCAUAUUGUAUUUAUUGCAUAUAGGUGCUAGAUGAUUAUGGUUAUUGCUUAUAUAUGCAUGCUAGUAGCUAUACAUCUUGAUGAUUGAUCCAUGAUCUAGUAUGCAUGAUGAUUAUAUGAUGAAAACUCUAUAAUAAAGACCUAGACCCUAUAUGAGAUGUUUAAUGCUUAUGUUGCUAAAGAACUAGUAUAAUGUAACUAGUGUUGAUGAUGAGUCUAAAUGACGAGUGGCAUCUAGUUAGAAAACUAUGAUGAGUGACAUAUGAUUGUUGAUGACCUUGAUAUGAGAACAUUAGUGUAGUUGAGACACUAUGAGAUUGGGUACAAGAACACCUUGAUUCCAUGAUGAGAUUACCCUUAGAGGGUAGGUUGUUGAUGCUCGUGAGUUGAUCAUGCUUACAUUGCCUGUCUGCGCUUGGUGGAGUCGCUCCCCUCAAGUUGUGCGCUCCGGAGUUGGUCACUAGAGAGGCGGCCCUUCUUGCUGCUCGGAUAGUCGCUUGUUAUCCGCAGGCGUACUCGGGGAUAGUCCAGUUAGGCAUCCCUCGGAGGUUGAUAUGUGAGCCUUGCUUGUGAACCUUGUGUUCACCAUGAGAUUUGGUUACCUAUUGAGUCAUACUUAUUAUUGUUGUUCAUGAUAGCUUGAUUCCAUAGUUGUUGUUGUGGUUCAUAGUUGCCUUUGGCUUGCCGGCUGAUUGGGUGAUCUAAUGAAUAGCCUUAUUGAUGAACCUAGUGGUAUGGUAGUUAGCCUUCACUAAGACUUACAUUGAUAGCGAGCAUAGUUGCUUGGUAGUUGGAUUGGUGGAUUGCCUACAUACAGUGAGUGGACAUAUUAUUCCUUCACCUAUGAGAUUUGAGCGGAGUAGCCUUAUACCUAGUAGGUCGAGAUGUGAGUCGUGCAAAGUGCGGGGUAGCCUUUGCCUAGGACCUUGAGAUGUGGGUCGGGCAAAGUGCGGGGUAGCCUUUGCCUAGGACCUUCGAGAUUGGGUCGGACCUUCGAGAUCUAAGUCGGGCGAGGAGCGGGGUAGCUCUUUGCUCAGGAUCCUUAAGACAUGAAUCGAAUGAGACAAGAAUGAGGUAGCUUUUCACCUACUAGAUUUGAGAUCUUAGGCAAAGUAGCCUAGUGGAUUGGGCAAUAAUGUGAAUAGCAUAAGUGGAUUGCAUUCAUACCAUGAUUAGACAUAGUGCAUUGCAUAACUAUGUUAUAGUUGUAUUCAUUUCACUGUUGAGGCAUAUUAGCAUGAUAGUAGAUUGUUGCUAGAUGAUGUUCCAUGCAUACUUUGCAUUUGAUGGCAUAGUAGAUAUAGUAGUAGUAUUUCGUAUAUCUUUCUAUCUAUCUAUCUGUGCCAGCUUGGACCUAGUGGGAAGAUCGGCGGAGUCGGCGGCCGAACCCACUGGGAACUAUAUUUAUAUAGUUCUUACCCCGUGUGGUUUUGGGGUACAGGUACACACGAGAGCGGAUCGACAGAGGAUCGCAGUUUGGGCUUAGCGCCCUAGUGCUAGUUGGUAGUUUACUUUCCUAUUUUGCAUUAGAGUUACCCUAUACAUGUAUUGAGAGUAGAUGAUGUAUAGGAUGUGAGGUAUUUUGAGAUAAAUGUAAACUAAUGUUUAUCUUUUGAAGAAUGUAAGCUUAUAUUCAUAGUUUGGAAAAGAAUGCAAGUUGUAAUUAAAUGUAUCGAGCUGAAUGGUUGUAAUAGAAUAGUUAAGUAUCUCUCUUUUGUUUCACUUGUAUGUCUUCUACUUGUGACGCUUGCUCUUGUAAUGUUCAGCACUGUUCGUGCUUUGGUUGUUGUAUGAUUGUGUAUGUAUUCAAGUGUUUUUCUGGAAACUUGUUGUACAAAAUCUCGUCAUUUGAGCCUUGGGCGGACAGGGGAGACUCUGUCCGUUUGGCAGUCCGCUUGCCGCGCCCGAACCGUGCCCAAUCGGUAGCGGCCUCGGGGCUGGGGCGUGACAUUAUCCCUCUAACCAAACGGGGCCUUUGACAUAAAGGCGACCUAGUAGCUUCGGUGAACACAACCCACAUCGAUUCGCACUCCGAUUGCUUGUAGUCACUUGCAAUCGGCCUCUCGCGGCACCCGUUGCCCGGUUUAGCCCGAACUCUUGCGCGACCACCCGAACGGUCACCAAUCCAUGAUCCGGAAAUUAAAGGUCUACGAUUAGUUGCCACGAGCCCACGAUUCCGAUUUCGUGAUUUUAGGAUGUCGCCUCGGCCCUCUAGGCGGAAACAAAGCUUUAACGGUCUGUUUCUUCAACAACUUCGCGUAGGCUCGAUGAAUCGCCGAUCCGACUUCACCAACGCGUUCGUAUACCUAGCAAUUAGAUUUGUAUAGGGUUAAUUUAUAUUUAAACCCACCCAUGACAAAAGCCCCAAUUUUGGUGCCCUAACAAUGUCAUUUUGCCAUUUUCUCUAGAUUGAUCUUGGAACUAAGCAAAUACUCGUUUAAAAUCAUCUAGGAAACUCUCUAAUCUCAUUUCCAACCCAUUUGAAUCAUUCCUAGGGCAUCUAGAGCUAACCCUAAAAGUUCACCAUGAGAGGGCCUUCAGAAACCAUGGAUUUCAUGGUGCUCAUGCCUCAAGAGAGCUUCUAAGCUUGCAAGAAAGUCCAAAACACGCUCAUGCCUCAAGAGAGCUUCUAAUCUUGCAAGAAAGUCCAAAACACUAAAUCUUAGGGUAAAAUCUAAACCCUAGAUGUAUUCUUGCAUGAGAGCUCACCUUAGCCCAAGCUCAUCUAAGAUUCUUCUUGUAGGAGAGCCUCCAAAUCCUUCAGAAGCUCCAAUCUCCACUUGAUCUCCUUCAAAUCCACCCCUUCUCCACCUUGGUAGAGAGUUUCUAGAGAGAGAGGGAGAAGAAAUGAGGGAGGAGGGGUUGCUGUGAAGGGAGGGGUGUUUGGGGUUAUAUAUAGUGUGCUACAAUUGCAACUAGGCCCCCCAAAUAAUUGUAUUUGCAGCAGACUAAAUCUGUACUGCCAAACCAAAGUGUACCGGUACACUUCAUCGUGUAACCGGUACACGAUCGCGUAUGACCAAACCCGAGAACAGCUCCCUCGGGUUUGGUGCAUUUGUACCGGUACACUUUCAUUUUGUACCGGUUACAACUCGAUGGUUGUACCGGUACACUUUGCCCAGACUAGAUUUUUGGCUCCGUUUCGAUUCUAUUUCGCGUCGAUAGAUGCCAAAACCUUUCUAACCUCUUCGGAACUCAUUUUUAACCCUUCCAACACUGUUGAAAUGUUAAAUAGAACUUGUCCAAUUAUUUCUUUCGCAUAUUUUAGUCAAUUUGACUAAAGUCCAAUAUUUUUCUACCGAAGUUUCGGUAUAUUACAUAAUUUUCGUUUAAAAAGUGUAAUUUUAAUCUUAAAAGGUGCAGUUUACAUCUUAAGUAGUGCAACUUAUGUCCGUAAUAGUGUAACGUUCUUUAAAACAGAGUAAUUUUAUUUUAACGAUGCAAUUUCAUCUUCGUCUUUUUUUUUCUAUAAUUCUUUGUCUUUAUUUUUUCUUUUUCCUUUUUCUACAAUUUUUUUUUUGUCACCCCUCUCUGCCAACGGCCACGGCACAGGCGAUGAUAUCGGUAAGGACCCCUUCUCCGAGGUUGCUGCGUCGUAGCGACCUCUACGACGUCGGCGUCGAUAAAGAUGUGUCGUCAUCGGAGACGACGGAAGAGGAGGGAGAGAGAGAGGAUGAGAAGGGCGGGGAAGGGCGAGAGAGGCGUCGUCGUCGGAGACGAUGGAGGAGGUUCGGAGAGGGAAAAAGAAAGAGUAGCGGUGCGACCUCGGUGGGGUCGGAGGUGAGGAAGACUGGAGAGUGGGGGUAGGCGUGCACGAGCGAAGACAUGAGGGUAAAAAGUGAUGUGAGUUGUUUCCGCCUCCUCUGCCUUUGCCUUUGCCUUUGCCUCCGCUACCUUUUUCGGCAAGAGAAAAAAAAAUAAACGAGAAAAAAAAGAGAGAGAAAGAGGAGAGAGAAAAAGUAACCAGUUUGCUGAAAAUUCGAAUCGUAUCUGCAAAAUCGAAAAAGACGGUCCAGUUUUACAAAAACUCAAAAUUUAUGAAUUUUUUAUGCAAAUCGGCCUUAAAAAAUAAAGGGUUAAUUACACUAAUGGCCCAUAACCUGUCCACUAUUUUUCAAUUUGGUCCUUAACUUUUUUUUUUUUUUGUAAUCAAAUCCCUAAUCUUUUGAUUUCAUUUCAAUUAAGUCCCAGCCGUUAGAUAGCUGUUAAAUUUGACGAAAAAUACUACGUCAGCGCCACGGAGGCGCCAUUUCAGCGCCACGGUGGCGCUGUGUCAGCGGAUUGCAAAAAAAAAGGUUGAGAACCAAAUUGAAAAACAGUGCAAAGGCUGAGAACCAAUGGUGUAAUUAACCCAUUAAAUUUAUAAAUUCAAAAAAAAAUUUAAUUUAAGAUUUAAAUUUUAAAUUUAAAUUUUGAUUUUGAAUUCAAAUUUAAAUUGGAAUUCAAAUUCCGAUUUUGUAUUUAAUUUUAAAUUUUUAAUUUUAAAUUCAAAUUUAAUUUUUAAUUUUUAAUUUUUAAUUUUAAUUUUGAAUUCAAAUUUAAAAUUUAAAAUCAAAAUUUUGAAUAUGAUUUUAAUUUUGAAUAUGAUUUUAAAUUUAAAUUCAUAUUUUAAAUUUAAAUUUCGGUUUCAAAACUUUUAUUUUAAAUGUAAAUUGAAAUAUCAAAAUCAAAAUUAAAAUUUUAAGUUUGAAUUCAAAAUUUAGAUUCAAUUAAAAAUUUAAAUUUAAAAUUUGAAUUUCAAUUCAAAAUUUUAAUUCAGUUUUAAAUUCAAAUUCAAAAUUCUAAUUUCUCGGUAGUUUAAAAUUUUAAUUUUAAUAUUAUUUUUGAAUUUAAAAUUUAAAAUUUUGAAUUUUUUUUAGGGACUAAAAUGAAAAAUGUGCAAAAUUUAGGGACCUAAUUGACAUACAAAAGGUUGCCGCAUAGGUGCUGACGUGGCGAUUCCGUUAAUUUUAACAGUUUUUUUAAUGGUUGGGACUAAUUAUAAUAAAAUUAAAAGAUUAGGAAUUCAAUUGCAAAAAAUAAAUGGUUGGGGAUUCAAGUGAAAAUUAGUGGAAAGGUUGGGUACUACCGGUGUAAUUAACCCAAUUUUAAAAACCCAGUUUCACACCCACUACUCCGAACCGUGUUCGCGACUCCCGAAACUAUCCCCGCUUAAAAAGCGGUNUUCAUUUUAAAUGUAAAUUAAAAUAUCAAAAUCAAAAUCAAAAUUUAAGCUUGAAUUUAAAAUUUAGAUUCAAUUAAAAAUUUAAAUUUAAAAUUUGAAUUUCAAUUCAAAAUUUUAACUUAGCUUUAAAUUCAAAUUCAAAAUUCUAAUUUCUUUUUAGUUUAAAAUUUUAAUUUUAAUAUUAUUUUUGAAUUUAAAUUUAAAGUUUUGAAUUUUUUUUGGGAUUAAAAUGAAAAAUGUGCAAAGUUUAGGGACCUAAAUUGAUAUGUAAAAGAUUAGACGCUGAUGUGACGAUUUCGCUAAUUUUAGCCGACUACCGACCGACCCACACAUCAUCGCUGUUCGCUCUUUUACUCAUCUCUAUAGUUGAAAAAAUCAGGGGUUUCGAAACCCUAGAUUUUUUUCCCCCCUCCCAAUCCGCCCCAAAUCCUUUCGUCGUCUUUAUUCUCCCCUCAAGUUGCCUCCGAUCGAUGCUAAAGCGCAGGAAGCUCCGGAUAUCCGAAUCAGGAGGGUGACAUCACUACGGGACGACGAUACAUGGAGGCCGCGGCAGCGAGGGCGUCGCCUCUGUGCCCUUGCGCAUGCCCCAUCUGCUGCUUGCGCCUCUCCGAAUGGCGCCUAUCCGUGAAGCGCAGGGCCGAACCUAAUGCGUUGUAGGCGGUGGCAGCCUCGUUGGGCGUAAACGCUAAGCUGAAUCCUCUUUAGUCGGCCUAAUAUAAAGUUCUUCGGACAACGAGACGCUGGAGGGACGGACCGGUCCCCGUGUGCGCAGGAUGCUGGGUAGACCCCUUUGCCCGCAGGAGGUGCUCUCCGGGACCGGUCUGUCCAUAGAGGGACCGGUCCCCGUGCGCGAAAACUGCCCAGGCAGAGCAGUUUGAGAGAGGCAAAAUAGAGGGGCUUAAUAGCAAUUGUUACAUUAGAAGAGGGGUAUAGAGGGGAGAUCACUCUCUCCCUCUCUCAUUCUAACACUCCCUUUCUCUCUCUAAGCACUCUCUCUCUCUUGAAGCAAAGAAGAAGGAGAAGAAGAAAAGAAAGGAGAAGAAGAAGAAGAAGGAGGAGAUCAAGCUAGAGAAGGCUUGGAGCAUCUUCCUCUUCCUCUCCUCACCAUUAGAGCUAACCUAGAGGUAAGCUCUUGAACCCUUUCAUGGUAGAAAUCUAGAGUUUGGAUUUCUAACUUUGGAAAUGGGUCAAAUGGACCUUUGGCAUUCUUAAUAGAUGCUUUAAGCUAGAAUUUGGAGUUUUAAUGGUGGAUUUUGCUAUAGAUGCAACCUAGGACUCCAAAUUGGGAUUUUUAGAAAAUGAUGGGAUUGAUCUCAUUUGAGGGCAUCUAAACCUAAUUGCUAGAUGUCUAAACGCGGGGGCGAAAUCGGAUUUUCGAUUCGUCGGGCGGGUGAGAAGAUAUCGGUAUUUUUAUCCUCUAUUAAUCCCCGUAUUAGUAAUCCACGUGUCAUCUUAAGCUUAAUCCAUUUUUAAAUUUUGUACACGUGGACCCUUCAUGGGUCCCACCUGCAGAUGCUUUAUGCUUUCUGGGCCAAAUUUUGUACACGUGGACCCUUCAUGGGUCCCACCUAUAGAUGAUGCUUCGUGUUUUCCGGGCCUUUGACCGGUUCUUUACAUUAACGCAUCGUGGGUCCCACCUGUACGUGAUUCAUGUGAACAGGUCUGGUGUACUCAUUUGAAAUAUGAAGAGUCAUAUAUAUAUUAAUAAAAAAAAAAUGAAAAGUCAUUUUAAAAGCUUAGAAUAUGAAGAGCCAUAUAUAUUAAUAAAUUUCAUUAAUAUUUUUUAUUUUUAAAUUAAUUGAAACUUUUUUCUUUUCUCAUUUAAAAAGUUUGGAAUAUGAAAAAUCAUAUAUAUUAAUAGAAAAAAUAAAAAGUCAUCUUAAAAGCUUGGAAUAUGAAGAGUCAUAUAUAUAAAUAAAUUCCAUUAAUAUUUUUUUUAUUUUUUUAAUUAAUUGGACUUUUACUUUUUCUCAUUUAAAAAGCUUGGAAUAUAAAGAGUCAUAUAUAUUAAUAGAAGAAAAUGAAAAGUCAUCUUAGAAUAUGAAAGAUCAUUUUAUAGUCUAUAUAAAGGAUUGCACUUAGGGUGCGUUUGGUUCGCAUUAUGAAAGAUUACUAGGAAUAAAAGAUAUCCGAGAAUCUUAUUCCUAUUCAUCCUAUUACUAAGAAUGUAGAAUUCUUGUAUUUGGUUCGCACGGUAAUAUUAAUUAGCCAUAUUAUUUAAUAUUACAAAAAAUAUACAAUUAAUGUAUUUAUUUAUUUAAUCAAUUUUAGAUAAUGUUAACAAAAGUUUCAAUAUCUUUUUAGAAAAAAAAGGAGAAAGAGUAUAAGUUAGAGAGAGAGAGAGCAUAAUUAAAAAAAUAGAAAGAAAAAUAUAGUUGAAACUAGAGGGAGUGAGAGAGUUGAAAUUUUAGAAAGAGAGAAAGGGAGAAAGCUUAGUUUAGAGAGAGAAAAAAAGUUGAAUUUUAGAGAGAAAAAUAAGUUUAGAGAGAGAAAUAAGGUUAGAGUGUAAAGAAAAAUAAUAUCAAUUAGCCGCCGGGUAAGAAGAAAGAAAGAGAUUAGAUAUAUUAUGAUUAUCUCAAUCCAUUAAUAUGAGGAUACCCACCCUCCCUCAAGGGAAUGAGAUUAGUACUUUGGGGUGAAUCUUAUUCCCAAGUGAAUCUAAUAUUACCAACUAGAUUAUUUAGUGCGUUUAGCCAAACACCGUCAUAUUUUUUUAUUCCCAUUGGAUUACUAGGAAUUUUUAAAAGAUAGCGCGAACCAAACGCACCCUUAUACUCAUUUUGGAUGAAUAAGAAAUGAUAUACUAAAUACUAUUUAUUUUGUCUCAAUAAAUUGUUUGUAUCUACUUGCAAUGAUUAACCAUAUUUAUUAGGUUCUUCUUUAAUUUGAAUUUGAUGCUUUGUUUGUUUACUUAGAUUUUUCUACCGUAUAGUAUAUUUUAAAUUACGUGAGAUUCGACUCUUCCAAUUUAAGGUAAAUUUUUUUUAGAAUUACUAUAUUUUUUAAUAUUUGUUUUUAUUAUUUUGGUUACUAUGUUAUAAAUUUUUAUAUUUAUUUUUGUUUACAAAUCAUAUUGUCUCCAUUAUAUAAUGAUUUGAUUGUAUUGGGAAUUUUGAUGGAUUUAUUUAUAUCAGGGUUUAGAAUUUUUGAAAUGAUUAAUUAUUACGCAGACUAAUGCCAUACUUAGCGAAAUCUAAUGGAUAUGUUGGAAUUUAUUUGCUAAAUAUAUUUUAUAUUAUUUCUGAUUAAACCUACAAGUCACUACCUGUAUAAUAAGACAUCUAUAUAAAGUUCUCAGAAAUAGAUGUGGUUUGAUACCUAUCGUGAUGCUUCAGUGUUAAAAAUUAAAAUAUUCAAAAAAUAUUCUUCAUACUUUUCAAUAUAUUUUAAAAUUAUUAAAAUUUUUUAAGUAAAUAUGUUCUACGUUUUACAAAAUAACUUAUAGAAAUAUAAGAUCUAAAAUUUAGGAUUUAAAUUUUAAAAGAUUGUAAUAUAUCUACCCGCUGCAGCGCGCGGGUCACUACACUAGUAUUUUUUAAAAACCAAUUAGAGAUUUUAUCUCAUUUAUUAAUAAUAUUAUCAAAUUUAAUAAUUUUAAUUAUUUUUAAAUUUUUAAAUAAAUAUAACUAAGUUAAUUAAUAGUUAAUAAAAAACAAAUUGAGUGUUUAAAUCUGAUAAUGUUUUAAAUAUCGUUAAACUAACCUAAUGAAGCAAUGUAGAACUAACCUAAUGGAACAAUGUCAAAAUAACUACAACUUUUUCAAUGUCAAAAUUGAGGAAUCAAUGUCAAAGUUGAGGAAAAGUUGAGGAAUCAACUCUACUUAGGAGAAAAAAUAUAGAACUAACCUAAUGGAACAAUGUCAAAAUAACUAACCUAAUGAAGCAAUGUCAAAAUAACUAACCUAAUGGAACAAUGUAGAAGCAAUGCUUAGGAGAGAGGGCACGACAGCAGCACCACAGGUCGGCGCCGGCGUCGGCGGUGGCGACGGCGACAGUGAUGGCGGCGUCGGCGUCGAACUCGUUGGGUCGGAUUGAGGGAGACAGAGAGGAGUGAGUAAGAGUGAGGGAUAUAGUGUGGGAGAUAGAGAGAGCUCGGGCGGGGCCAGUGAGGGAGAAAGAAAAAGGGUUCGGGCGGGAUUAGGGUAUAUUGACUAAAGGCAGUGAAUGGUUUACCGCAUAUAAAUGCGGUAAUCCAUUUAUCGUAUUUAUAUGCGGUGAACCAUUCACCGCCUUUAAAUGCGAUAAAUAGUUAACCGCAUUAUGAAUGCGGUAAACCAUUUAGUACCGCAUCAUUCGUUUUACCGCUUUGCGGAUCUAGACCCACAAAUGCGGUGAAUGGUUCACCGCUAUAUGAAUGCGGUGAAUCAUUCACUGUAUAUAUGCAUUAUAAAAUCCACAUGCUGACCUAGCCUAUUUGAAGGUUAUUUUUAUAAUAAAUUUUUAAGACGGUCUACUUUUAUAAAUAAAAUUUUCGAGAAACCUAUUUAUAAAAUAAAUUCUCCCCACUCUCUGCGCGCUCCUCCUCUCCCCUCCCCUCCCCUCUCCUCUCCUCUCCUCCCUCGCCCGCCACCUCGCCUCCCUCCCCGACCUCGCGCCGACGCGCGCCUACCUCACCUGCCUCUGCCACCACCCCCUCCGCCCCUCCCCGCUUCCCUUCGUCGCCCCUCUCCUCUCCUCUAUCUUCCUCAGUCGCCGCCCCAGGGAGCCGGCAGUGCUACGCCCACUGGUGCCGAGGCCGACGUGGAACAUUACGAGUGCCAAGCUCGCGAGCUUAAGGCCGGCCUCCAUCGCUCGAAGGUUUUUUUUUUGCUUUUUCUAAUUCUUCUUUUCUCUCUUAGAUGUUUGGUUCUCUUUGAUUCACUUAUUAGGGGGCAUCGCCAAUCUGUUCGAGGGAAUCGAACCCCCUAGAAAGAUAGUCGCCAAUCUGUUCGAGGGAAUCGAACCCCCUAGAAAGAUAGUCGCCAAUCUGUUCGAGGGAAUCGAACCCCCUAGAAUGAUAGUAGAAGGAAAGAGGGAGAAGGGGAGAAAAUAGAUAUUGGAGAAAGGUGUCUUAUUUCAUUCAUUAUUGAUCAAGCCCUUAUUACACUGUAUAUUUGUAGGCUCUAUUUAUGACUAGAACUAGAUAAGCUGAUUUAUUAAAAAUGGGGAAAACUGAUUCCUUUAUCUUCUCCUUCUUUGAACCGAAUCGUCAGAUCGAAGCUCACCUCUAUGCACGAUAUGUUGUCACGCUCUCUUCCCUCACCGGCUCUCCUGUGCUGGAUUCAGGUUGCAUCUGUAGCAAUGAUGAUAGGAAAUUCAAUAUUAAAGCAAGUUGAUAGCCUAAUGGCAACUCUUGCAAUUAUUUAUGUCUUAAAAAAUAAUCAGAUUGGGAGGGAUGAAGAAAAUUAUAAACAAUGAUGAAAAUAUAACUAUCUGCGCUCACCUAAUUCUUCUAAUUUAAAGCUUAAAGCUUAAGUUUGAGUUCUUCUUUGCUUUGGCCCUGAGUUUUUUUUUUUUUUUCUUUCAUAUUCUUACUUUCGAUAUCAAAUUAGCUGCUGCUUCUCCUUCUUCUUCUUCUUACAUAUGCUACUUGUUCUCUUCUUACCUAUUCUGCUGACUUUGCUUCUUCUUCUUAUGUAUUGCUAUUUUACUUAUUACAAAUAUUUGUUAUAUAUUCUUCUUGUUUUUGUUUUUCUGCUUCUGAUGCGUAAUUUUUUUUUAAUAAAUGUAUUCUUCUUAGGUUAUUUUCUUAAAUACUUAAGUUUUGAUUUCAUGUAAUUGUAAACCUUGAAUUCAACUUCCUGCCGCUUCUUCUUCUGCAUAUGCAGCUACUUUUACUUACAAUAAUUAGUAAGAAUGAGCAAUGAUGAUACAAAAUUACAAAUAGAGCAAGUUGGAUGGCAUGAUGGCAACUCUUGCACCUAUUUAUGAACGAAACAAACUACUGGUUGCACGGAAAAAAGACACGUGUUUUGCUAUAAACAAAAACAUUAUCCAUGCCAUAUCAAUUCCCUCCAAUUCAGCAAUCUCAAUGUUGCAAGAUAUGUUUUGGAUCAAGGUUUAAAGUGCCGUGGCACGGGAACGUGCCGCUGUCUGCCCGGCACGGUACGGACCGACAUGCUUGCGUGCCGACACAUGAUACGCUUGCGUGCCAAUGAAUACGCAUGACUUCCUAUUGACACGCUUUGGCUCCGUACUUAUUGUAAUUUUUUUUUGCCCCAAUAAGCUUUUAUAAUGUUAUUUUGAAAAAUUUAAUCAAAUAAUUAUGAAUAUUUACUAUGUAUAGUUUACUCUAUUCAUCAAUUAACAUAUUUUUAAGCUUUUUUGUAUAUAAAGUACAACUAUACCUGAUGCAGAAUAAAAAAGUUUUACAGGUUAAAAUUUUUAAAAUGGAAAAACAUCUUUCUUUUUUUUGUUUUGACCAUAUUACAGUCUUUCUUUUAUGAAAUACAAAAUUUUUUUUUACAAUAAUUUGAAAAAAUUAUUUCUUAAUUAAUUUUUUCAAAAAAUUAGUCUAUCUAUCAAAAAACUUAAGCAAUAAAUUAUAUGACAAAUAAAUUAAAUAAAUUUAAGUAUCAAUUGAUUUAAUUUAGCUUUUAAUUUUAUUAAUAUUUUCGAUCUUUUAAUGCAAAAAUUAAAUUUUUAUAUUCGAUGUGCCUCAAAAUUUGAUUAUUGAGUUCAAUUUUGUUCCCCUAAUUUGCAAAAAAUUUCGCGGUGCGACAAAUUUUGAUAAAAUAAUUUAUGAAGAAAAAAAAGGAUAUCUGUGGCAGAAACAAAGGGCUCGGGCUACCUGAGCCCGGAGCGCACCACUGACAUUCGAGGGGGGUGCGGGGGGUUUCGCCCCCCCAUGGUAUGGAUUGGAUAUGUAAAUUUAAAAUUUUCUUGUAUAUUGAUAAACAAAAAAAUAAAUUAUAAUUUUUUUGACUUACCUAACAAGUAGAUCUUUGAUUUGCAAAAGAAAAAAAAAAAAGAAAAAGCCAAAAAGCCAAAAAAAAGGGCGGCAUGUCGGUUCGUGCCCGCGGCACGCACCAGCGUGCCGCUUUGUCUCACGUAGCACGCAUCUGCGAGCCGUGAGACUGGGGGGCGUGCGAGACUCCCCCUGUACGGUUGUACAGGGGGCACGGUACGUGCUGCCCCGUGCCGUACGACACGGGGUGGCACUUUAAACAUUGCUUUUGGAUAGCCGAAACAAUUUCCAUAACCAUUUCCUAUUCCUUCCUUGACCUUUCCUUUGUUGUAUCCAAGGCAUAUCAUAUGCUUCCAGUACUAAGUACAUUGUCAUUUUGUUUGCCGUUGCCUGACUUAUGGUAGGAAAUUCAAUACUAAAGCAAGUUUGAUGACUUAAUGGCAACUCUUGCGAAUAUUUGUCCUAAAAAAUAAACAAUGAUGAAAAUGCAACUAUCUGAGUUCAACUAAUUCUUCUACUUUAAACUUUAAAGUUUAAGCUUGACUUCUUCUUUGCUUUAUCCCAGAGAUUUGUUUCUUUUUUUCUUACUUUUGAAAUCAAAUUUGCUGCUUCUUCUUCUUGCGUAUGCUGCUUAAUUCUCUUCUUACCUGUUCUGUUGAUUUUGUUUCUUCUUCUUCUUAUGUAUUGCUAUUUUACUUUAUUACAAAUAUUUCUCAUAUACUUUUUUGGAUUUUGUUUUUCUGCUUCUAAUGAGUACAAAUUUUUGAAUAAAAAUAAUUCUUCUUAGAUUUUUUUUCUUUUUUAGAUUAAGUUUUGAUUUAAGUUUUCUACCUUUAUGGCUUAUCACCAGUGCAUCUUUGUGCUGCUUCUCCCAUUUUGAGGUGUUGCUGUUGCUAUUGCUGCUGCUAUUUCUGUUGCUUUUUCUACUUCUAUAUCUAUGUUGUAAGCUAUGCAUAAUAUAUUAUGCAAAGUACGGCCACUUUAAUGCUGCCGAAGCUCUAAUUUUGUCAUGCUCUAAUUAAUUAAGUCAAUGCAAGUGAGAAGAAGUGUUGGUGGUCAAUACACAGUGCAUGCUGCGUGGGAGAGAGUCUUGGGAGUUCAUUGUACGGUCGCAUAUUUUAAACGCUUCGGAUCUAAUUAAAACUUUUGUCUUUUCAUAGAUAAUUUUGUAUUCCACUUUUGAUAUUAAUAAAAUUAUUUGCUCUGUCUUCGUCCGUGGACGUAGGCCAAUGGCCGAACCACGUAAAUUUAAGUGUGUUCUUUUUUUUUUCUUUUCUUGCAUUACUUUUUCUUUACAUCUAUACGAAAGCAACUUUGAUGGUCUAGGCAACUGUUGUGGAUAUUUAUGUCGUAAAAAUAACUGGAUUGGAGAGAAGAAAAUAUAUGUUUUUUUUCUUGCAAAAAGAGAUGAAAAUCUAACUAUAUGAACUAUUUAAUAUUUCUAAUUAAAAAUUACUUUUCUAUUUCUAAUGAUAUUGCUUCUGGUUCUUCUGUUGCAACUUCUUUUUUUUUCUAUUGCUAUUAUUCUUUUCCUACUAAUUAUGCUUCAUUUUUUUUCAUAUAUAUUUUAAAUUUAAAUUUUUUAAAAAAUAAAUUUUUAAUGCAUCUACUACCUCAAUAAUAUUUAUGUCUUAAAAAUAUUCAAAUCGAGAUGGAAGAAAAAUAUUAUUUUUUGUUCUUGCAAAAAGAAUGAUAAAAAUAUAUUUAUCUAAACUCAACUAAAUCUUCUAAGUGUAAACUUUAGAAUUUGGUAAAAUUUGCAUUUAAGUUUCUAACUAUAAUUAUUGAAGAAUAGUGCUACUUUGGGACUACAUAUUUUUCAGUCAAAAUUUUAUAAUUUAGAAAAAAAAUUCAAUAUAAGUUUCUAAUUAUAAUUUAAUUUUUUAAAAUUUUAAAAUUUUGAUUAUAUUAUCUACCCACCGCAUCGCCUGGGUCCCUGCAGUAGUGUAUAUCUAUUUCUCUUGUCAAUAGCAAUAGCAAUUGCAAUUAAGUGGUCUAAAUUGUAAGUAAUAUUUUGAUGUAAAGUUGGUAAUAUAUUUUGUUUAGUAACAUGAAUGUACGAAGGCCUUCGUGUUUGUAAGUUGUUUUCAGCAAUGGAAGAUCCGAUUUGACUAUCGGCUCGGUUAGACAUGAUCUACGUUAUUAGAACUAUUUAGAAACCAAAUUUCAUAAUUUUUCAACAUAAUUUACCGAAGGAUCAAAAGGUUUAAAAAAUGACUAUUGUAAUGGCUGAUGUGGUACAUUUGUGAGUUCAAUGGUAUAGAACAAUCCAAAUUAGGUGAAAUUUUAACAGAAAAUUCUACUUACCAUUGAGAGCAAGUCAGUAUUUUUGAUUUGAAAUUUAAGUCUUUUCUCACUAUUUUUUAUGGAUUUUUAUUUUCAGCCGUUCAUUUUGAGGCUACUCGUUCACUAGGCAAAAAAAGUAAAAAAAUUAUGAAAUUUAUUUUCUAGAUAGUUCCAACACUGUAGUGGAAUCGAUCGUCGAAUCAGAUGUCCCAACAUCGAAAACAACUUACAAAUGCGGAGAUCUUCGUACUUUUGAAAGCGUAGUAAUAGUAGCCUAGCUCUCUCUAUAUAUUUUUAUAGCAUUAUUCUUCUAAACUUCUUUUUUGUCCAUUUGAUGUGAAUGCUUACUUGAUUCAAAAGUCUCUCUAUUGUUGUAAAAAGGGUUUAGUUCUACUCUGAGAAAAGAACUAUAGAUUACUGAUCUGUACUCAUUUUAACAAAUGUGUGCUGUUUUAGUGUAAACACAUUGUAUUUUGUAUCAGAGGCUGAUUUAGUAAACUUCAAAUCUGGGAGAUUGGGAUUGCUAGUUGAGUACUUGGGUAAGGCCACUGUUAAAUUUGAGAAUUAUUGGAGCAAUUCUGAUUCAGAUAAUUAAAACCUUUGUGCCUCAUUAUACAUCAUAACUUAGCCUACUGGUCUUUUGUAAUUAAUUGAUGGCCUUAUGAAACCUGAAAACCAUUUUGGAAACACCAAAUUCAACAGAUGGUGCACAACGGCCUUUGAAGAAUAUUAGAGCUUGCUCAUAUUUUUAGUAUGUUAAUCAUUGCUGAUAAAAAUUAUCCAUUAGAUAGUAAUUGUCUCUUUUUAACUCAUUAAUUUGAUCAAUCUCUCAAAGGAGUUCUGAUACUGCUAAUAUGUGGGGUAAGGAAUGAGGAAAAUUAUGACAAGUCUGAAUGCUAAUUUUUUGUCUAAUUGGGCAAAGAAAAAGCAUUGUAGAUAUGGACUUCUUGGUUAUUCUUUUCACCAUUGCCCAUUGGAAUAGGAUUUGGAAUGAGGCCAAGCGAUAGCUCAAGGAUCAAUUGCAAUUGAGUCCUAUUAUAUAUUUAAGUAGAGUGGAAAGCAGGGAAAAAUAUGGUGUGAUUUAAGGUGAUGAAGGUGAGAUUUUGUGGGGAGGGUGUGGUGAGAUCAGGAGUUGGAAAAUUUUGGAUGCACAAACUUCUAACUAUAGCCACUUCCACAAGAGGGAGUCCUGCAGGGCUGGGCUUUCAUAGCCAAAUUUUGUAAUAUUAAAAUCUUACUAUGAACUCAACAUUUUCUUGGUAUUAUAAUCUGAUUUGGGUUUUCUUUGUUGUUUGUAUUUUCUUCUCUAAGAUUGUUGAAUUUUUCAUGCAGGUUCAUUUUCAGAUUUCUUGGUUUAGGAGGUUGUUAUAUUUGUGAACUAGCUUAGGUGGAAAGUGGUAUGAUAAUUGGCUCGAGCUUUUUGUUAUAGUCUUGUAAAUAGUCAGACUGUUGCAAUUUAAUCUUUCUUAUUUGUUGGUUGGAAGACUUCAUCAUGUUAUUAUGAAAUGAUUAUAGUAAGUUUUGCUAAUUUGAAUAAAUCUGGGUUAGUUUGAAGUAGCAUAAUAUGUUGAAUUUUUAUUAGUUUUUUUGUUAAUUUGGCUAUUUGUUGUUUUUUCCCCUAUUUAUAACUCUCAGUUUGUUGACUGUUAUACACUAAUCUUAUCAUACUUGUCCUUUUUAGGUAAGCUUCUUUUUGGUAAUUUAUUAUUGUUUUAGUAAGCUUCUUCCUGUUAAUUUAUUAUUGUUUAGUCAUUUUGUGUCUGUUUAUUUGUAUGCAAUUGUUAAUUAUUUAACUUGUAAGCAUGAUUAAUGUUGUGAGAUUAUUUUUUUUAUUAAAUAGAUUAAUGGGAUGAGAGAGACUAGGAGGAGGGGGAGCUAUGGGGUGUUAUAGAGAUAGGGAGUGAGGGUUAGCGGUGGUGGGGCACGGGGGGUUAGGAGGAAGAGUUCAUAAAGAAUAGCCCAAUCCAUACUUUCUUUCGUACACCAAACAUGGGAGUAAAAUUAACUUAUCCAAUUCUUUACUAAUCCAGUGUUGCACCAAAUGCAAGAUUGGAACCGAAUUGUAUAUAUCCAAUCUUAUCAAAUCGAAUCUUGUACUUGUCAUCCUAUCCAAUCCAAUCCCAUGCUCCAAACUUGCCCAAUUAGUUUAUAACUAGUUAAGUGCCCCGCGCGAUGCGGCGGGAAGAUAAUAUAAUAGUAAAUUAUUAUAGUUAUUAAUGUUAUUUUUUUUUUCUAUUAUGCAUUAAUAUUUUUAGAUAUUAUUUAUCUCAGUAUUAAAUAAUUAAAAAUUAAAGAAUAAAUUAAAGAAUAAAAUUAAAGUAUAUUUCUUUCUAAAAGUAUUUAAAUCUAAUAAGUAAAAUGAAUAAAUCAGUUUAAAAUAAAACAAAAGUUCAUUAUAGUAUUAAGAAAGAUAAAUAAUAUUUUUCUAUCAUCAUUAAGGUAGAAUUUAUAAAAAAAAAAAAUUAAGUGGAGUGAAAGUACUAUCUUUGGUAUUCUUGGCGGCAACGUCUUCAUUGUACCCUCUUUGACUUUUAUCGUUACACAUACAACUAAUAAAGUAUUUGAUUCCUAAAUUUUAAAUUAGUGAAGAAAUCAGUAGGUAUGUCACGCCCCGGGUUGCAGCGAAAGCCCGCCGGGCGCGUGCCCAAACCCGCCGUACACACCAAAAACCACAAUGUGCACAAGGCGUCUACAACAGUCAUAUAGAGUAAUAGAAAAAUCCAUCCUAAAUAUGGUAAUCAGAGCGAGAAUAUACAACAGCUAGAUACAAAAUUUUGGAACUAAAACCUCAAGAUUACAACAAUUCUAACCAAGGGUACAAUAUGAAUAUAAAGAAUCUCACGUAGAGUACAAUAGAAUCCACUAAACUAAGCCAAAUAAGUAAUCUCAUGGGUUCAUCUAUCGCAACAUCGUGAGGCUCUAGCUAUUCGUUGCCUCCCUUGCCACGAUCCCUAGCAUUUCCCGCUGCGGAAGGCUCUAAAACAAAAACAACAAACCAAUGGGGGUGAGAACUAUUAAAUAAUAGUUCUCAGUGGGUAAGCCGCCGAGAGUGGCGAAAUACACCACUAGGUCAACUGAGGCAUAGAUAUGAUAUAGGAAGUAUGAAAUGUAAAUGCAACAGAUAUUAGACCAAUCUCAACUAUAUCAUGACUCUAUAUGAAAUGUCAUUUAGCAUGUAUGCGAAUUCUAUACUAUCACAUGCACAAACACUUAUAUAAGAUAUCAUAUAUGCUUUUCCGUCAUUAAGCUACAUGCCACAGGUUGAGUAAAUCUUUCAUGAAUUUCCACUAACUAUUGUCAUCAUGUAGCUACAAUUCCAUACUAUUCAACAUAAAUAUAAGUUUGCUGCAAGCCUACAACUAAGAUUGUCAAUACAAACAAUGAUCCAUAUGAAUGUCCCACUACUAUGAAUAUAUCAACUAGUGUCACAAAAUGAAUGACCUACUAGUAUGUCCAUCUACUAUGUCAAGUUUAAUUAACUUUUAAGUAUCAUAGUCAAUCCAUCUGGACCUAUACAAGUGUAGUCCGGCUUGCGCCGUGCCUAAUGGCCCCGUAGUAGUCAACAUUCCCACUCUAGGAAUGAGCCUCCCCCACGGCAUCCUAUUUCGGCGCCCAAUCCAGCACGGGUGAGCUUGUGUUGCGUAGGCUAACUCAGGAGUGCCUGCUUGUGGGGAGCGACCCUCACAAGCUUGUGCGAAUGAGCAUAAUGGCAAGCAAGCGUAAUCAUCCAUCUCGAGUCCAUGGUCAUCAUGUUUAAAACAUGGAAUAAGCACAAACGACCCAAUGUCCAUUUCUAUGUCAUAGUGUAAAGGUUAAACCGUUUACUAAGUCAAAUGCCACUUUAUGACAUUAAUGUUCCCGUCUCAUUCAUUCUAUUAAGGGUGAUUCUAUGACUCAUUCAAGAACCUAACGGGCUUCACCCGUAUGCCAACCUAGGAUAUUUCCACUAUAAUGCAAAAGGAAUAGUUUUCCAAUGUCAUAAUCAUUAAACCCCACGGGUAUCUAUCAAGUCAUAGUAUAUGUCAUGCACAUGCCUUUCUACAUGAUGCCUCCACUUCAUGGAGUAUAUAUACACAUACAUAGCCAUGCAAAUGUUUAGUUCCCAUUAAACUACUCAAGUAUGUACUUUGUCAUUUACAUGUCAUUUGCAUAUUCCAACUAAUGAAAUUCCUACAUGCCUAUAGCAUAAGGUUUUAUCUAUCAACUCAUAGGACGAGCAAAUCAUAGUAUUUACAAGUAUAUAUAUGUACCUCACUACAUGAGCCUUCUCUACAUAGAGUAUAACAUUAUCAUGCAAAUGAAUAACUUUCUUUUACUCAUGCAACAUGUACUACAACAUGCUUUAUUACAGAGAGUAUAUCAACCGUCUUACAUAUCAUAUGGAUGUCAAGUAUUUGAACUACAUCAAUCAUCGUGUCUAAAACACGGAAUCUCAUUUAUCAACUCAAGGGUCAACAUAAUGUUACCCGGUUAACUUAGUUGUUCAUCUAAACUAAGUAUAAUAUUUAUGGCUCUAUUUCAAAUGGUUAACAUGUCGUACAUCAUGCUCAUCUUUAUCUAGCAAGUAAAUUAGCUGCAAAGUCCACUAAGUCCACUAGUUCCAUUAGUCCUCUAGAGUCUCAAGUGACCUAGAAUUCAUCUCUAUCAUGCAUUCCUACAAUGCACCAAAAGGAACAUGUCAUCGUACUAUAAUUUUAUAGGUACAACAUGCGUGAUUUCAUCAAUUGUUCUCUACUACAUGAGCAUACCAAAAUGUUAUACAUAACAUGUAUAUUUUCAAGCACCCUAAAAUUCUAUCAUGGCAUAAAUAUCAUGAUUAUGCACUAAUUAAGUCCUAUAACAUCAUAGGAGAUAUAGAGGGAGUUCACCCAUUUCGGUGAGGUCAAACCCACUGGAUCACAUCCGAACGCUUUCGUUCGUCCGAACGAAGUUGUCCACCAAAUUUCUAGCACUCUAAGAAAAAUUCUAAAGGGUUAAAAGCUUCCAAAAAAUUACUUCAAAAAUCUUCGAAAAUUACACAUGCAAAAAGUGUAAAAUACCUUAGGUCAAGAAGAACUUGAUCAAAGCCCAAAUCGAAGCUACCAAGCUUCAAAUCCAACCUACAAGAGUGUUCCACACUCAUCAAUCCCAUCCCAAAAGCUCAUAAUAGAAAAACCAUAAAAUAAACCCUAGUUUUCCAAAAACUAGGUUUUAUCCCAGAUCUCAAGCAAAUCUCUUUAAUAGAGGUUAAGAGAAGGUUUCUAACCUCAAAGCAAGCUUCAACUUGAGCCAUCAUGUGCUAGGGUUGAAGUUUGAACCAUCUACAAGCUCCUUUUAUCCACUCUAAGCUCCAAAAGGCAAGCAACCAUGGUGGAGAGGAAGAAAAAGAGAUCAAUCUUAAAAAAUACAAGAGUUUAGAGGAGAAAAUCUAGAGAAAAGAAGAGCAAAACCCACCUCUAUUUCUCUCUCAAGCCUUAGCCAACUGAGGAAGAAAGGGGGGUGAAGGGGUAUAUAAACACGUGGUAACAAUAUCCCCAUAAGCCCUCCAACAAGCAGAAAUUACAUCCUGCACGCACAGUAGUUUUCUGCACUGCGUACCGGUAAGCGGGAAGGAGUACCGGUACCCAGCACAAAAUUCUGCUCAACCCGAGCCUCGGUCAAGCGUCUAGACUGCAGCGUACCAAUACUCGGCCGAUGUCGUACCGGUACUCUAGCUCUAAAAUCUGCAGUUUGCAGAUUUUGAUGCCGAAAGCCUGUUCUCGUGUCUAAUAAGUUUCGGAACAGGCAAGUACCAUACAGGUAACCCUCAAACAUCCCGAAUAGAUUAAAAUACUAAUCUUACACUAGAACUGUGCAAUUUGCAGAAAUUCAGUGUGUUACAAGGUAAUUAUCAGAAGCAAAAAAAAGACUAAUUAAAAGGCAUUCGAAAUCAAAAUAGAUAUUUUUUACACUGUAAAAAGAUUCAACUACCAAAUAUUCUAUUAAUAUAUAAAUUAAUCCUUAAAAAAUUGUUUGGGAACUAAAGUGAAAAACAUGAAAAGUUUAGGGAUUAGGGACCAAAAUAAAAAAGCGUGGAAAGAUUGGGGUCCAAUGCAUAAUUAAUCUUUAAAAAAAUUGAUGUGGGCCCCACAACCCCCAAAAUAAGAGAUUUUUUGGGUUCCAAAUUAGUGUAUUUAUUAAAUUAAUAUUAAUAUAAAUAUAAAUAAAUAAAAAAAUUAUAAAUAAAUAAAUAUAAAUAAAGUGAAAAAAUAAAAAAAGAAAAUGUGUAAAGUGUGUGAGAGAGAGUGAGAGAGAAAAAAAAAAGGUGGGGCCCACAGGCCCCUCCAAACCCGUGGAGGGCUUUAAAAGGUUGCCAAUUAAUAGUUAUAUAAAUAUAAAUGGAAGUAGCCAUGACAUUAUUAUUGUAUAUGUUACGAUAUAUUUUAUCUAUAUUAGGAUACUCUGUAUUAUUGCCUUCUAUAGAGUAGUAUUAUUGCUUUCUAUAGAGUUUGAUUAUAUAGUAUGUAAUCCUAGUUAUACUUUUACUAUAGUAGCCAUUGUUACUAUAGUAAGACAAUCUCUUGUACUAUAUAUAUUCGUUAAUACAACUCAAGAGGGUAUGCUCUUUUGCCCUUCUUACAUCGUAUUAGAGCGGGAACCCUAAUGUGGGGAUAUCGAUCUAUAGCCACCAUCCACCAUAAGUCUCACUUUUUUUCAUAGGUGUCUUUUCUUUUGGUGUUCUAUCUCCCUGGUACUGCUACAGUACUAUCACUACAGUACUGUUACAGUACCUGGCACUACAGUACUGAUGCUACAGUACCGGUGCUACAGUUCGGUAGUGCUGCAGUGCCUCUACUACAGUAUUUUCAGCCUUUUUGUGAUUCCUCUUUGCUCCUCUGGUGCUGUUCGGACUAUCCUACUGCUGGUUGCUCGUAUCGCUCGGUUCUUUCCUUGGUGCGGUUGAUCUUAUUUGGUGAUAAGUGGUUCCUCUCUUGUGGUAGAAAUCAGGUUCUUUUUUAUUCUCAUCCGCUACAUUCCGAUUUAUCUUUCUUUCAUAUCUAGUGGUGGAUCCUUCUCUUAAGGUGGUAAACAUAUCUUCUUCUACCUCAAAUUUGCCAAUUGUUAAUAUGAAAACUCUCAUACCACUAAAACUCACCGAUUCCACAUAUCUUGUGUGGAAACAAGUCUUUCUUAAUGUUCUAGAAAGUUUUGGUGUUACAAUACAUGUGGACGGAACUAGUGUUGUGCCUUCUCAGACUAUCGAUACUGCUGAUAAGAAGGUGGUUAUAAAUCCUGAAUAUCUAAGUUGGAAAAAGGACGAUACUACUAUACUUUCAUGGAUUAAUGCCACUUUAUCUCUUAGCAUAUUACAAAUGGUUAUUUCUAGCUCACCUAAAAUUGCAUAUGAUACUUGGAGAAUUAUUGAGGCAUAUUUUCUUGAUAAGGCUGCUUCCACGGCUUUUUCUCUAAAGUCUGAAUUGCGGAGCAUCAAGAAAGGCUCAAUGAGCAUGAGUGAUUACAUGCAAAAGAUCAAGACGAUUGGUGAUGUUCUUUAGGCGGUUGGUGAAAUCAAGUUAGACCAUAAUUUGGUCACGACUGUUCUUCUAGGGUUACCAAAGGAAUAUCGAUGUUUUGUUAGUGCUCUAAACACACACAGAAAUAAGCCAACUUUUGAACAACUUCGUUUACUCUUGAUGCAAGAAGAAACAAAAGUCCAGCGUCGUACUAGUGUGACUACGUCCUCUGCUAUUCCCACUAUUGACGGUGAAGCUCUUUAUGCCAAUCGUGGACGUGGUAAUCGUGGAGGCCUUGGAGGUAGAUAUCGUGGAGGCCGAGGACAGCGUGGUAGACACUACUCUGGUCGUGGAUCUCCUGGAAUCUACCCACAGUUUCAACCCAAUUAUCCUCAAUAAUCUUACACUCCAAAUCAACAACCGUACAUUUCGAAGUCUGGCAUACAAUGUCAGAUAUGUGGAAAGUUCAAUCAUUCUGCUCUUCAGUGCAGACAACGCUUCAAUCAUUCUUUCGUUGCCGAUGAAGUUCCUAAGACCUUUAUUGCUAUGAACCUUCACGAACCCGAUGAGGAGGUCUGGUAUCCGGAAACUGGAGCAUCAAAUCAUAUGAUCGCAAACUCUGGUAUUCUCUCAUCUUCUAAACCUUAUAGUGGGCAUGAAAAAAUUCUUGUUGGUAAUGGAAAUUUACUUGAUAUUACUCAGGUGAAACUCAAUUGAAUACAUCUUCUAACUCUUUUGCUCUUAAAAAUGUUCUUGUUGUUCCUGCUAUUAAGAGAAAUUUACUUUCAGUGCGUAAAUUCUGUCAAGAUAAUAAUUCUCCUUUUGAAUUUGACUCUACUGGUUUUUUUGUGAAGGACAAGGAAACAGGGAAGGAGCUUCUUCGAUGUCUUAGCUCGGGAACAUCACUUUAUCCAAUUUUUUCUAAACUUGCAAGUGUAGGGAAUAAGCAACAACUAGCUCUUGUUGCAUCUAGGUUUAGUAGAGAUGUCUGGCAUAGAUGGUUAGGCCAUCCUAGUUUUCCUGUUCUUUCUACAUUUAUUAAAAACAAUAAAAUUGUUUAUGAUUCUGCACUGAAAUUAUCUGUCUGCAAUGCUUGUAAUAUGGGAAAAUAUGUUAAACUUUCAUUUCAUGAUUCAGAAUCUCAGUCUGCUUUUCCUUUUCAUAUUGUUCAUUAUGAUGUUUGGCAAUCACCUGUGCCCUUGGUUUCUGGAUACAAAUAUUAUGUUAUUUUUAUCGACGAUUAUUCUAGAUUUUCUUGGCUUUAUAUUUUAAAAUUUAAACAUUAAGUUUUUGACAAAUUUCUCGAGUUCAAGACGAUGGUUGAAAAUAUAUUUCACAGCUCAAUAAAAAUUUUUCAAUCUGACAAUGGUACGGAAUUUGUAAAUGACAAGUUUUAUAGUUUUUGCUCACAAAAUGGAAUUAUUCGUCGAUUUUCUUGUCCUUACACUUAUCAACAAAAUGGCAUUGCUGAGAGAAAACAUAGGCAUUUAUUUAACAUUGUUAGAAGUCUAUUGUUUUAAGCUGGCUUGUUUCCUCGUUUUUGGGCUGAUGUCAUUCAAACUGCUGUUUUUCUUGUAAAUCGACUCCCGUCUCUUAUUGUUUUAAAUGGGCGGUCGCUGUAUGACAUUCUCCAUGGUUGUGCUUCUCCUGACUUGUAACUUAUCAGAGUCUUUGGAUGUUUGUGUUAUCCCGAUGUUCAGGAUAUUGUAGAUCACAAGCUCUCCCCCCAAUCACUUGUGUUUUCUUGGGCCUUUCUGACAAACAUAAAGGCUUUCGCUGUCUCUAUCCGAGCACUCGUAAAAUUUUUAUUUCUCGCCAUGUUACUUUUGUUGAAACUGUUUUUCCUUACUCUUGUUUGUCUAAAUUUUCUUUCUCACCUUCCCCCACUACCUUAAAUUUUCAAAUGUUUCAACAUUUUUUUUCUAAUCCUCCCUUACUGGGCGAAAGUCCUUCCUCUAUUGAUGCCAUCUCUGGUUUUUCCUUCACGCGCCUUUCUACGGACGUUGAUUCAAAUGCAUCUGUUUCACCGUCUAAGACUGUAUCGACUUUUCCUUCCACCUUGAAUCAUGAUGCCACACAGGUUAGUGAUGAACAUGCUGCCACUGUUGCUGGUCCACCUGAACUCCGAGUCUAUACCAGACGACACACCCUCCGACCUACUGCUGCUACAGCUUCACCUUUUCCUGUUGAGUUGACGCCUUCCACAUCUGACAGGCCACCUUCACCUCAGCCUGCUGAGCUUUCUUUACCAUUCCGAACACACUCUAUGUUUACUCGAUCUAUGACUAAGAAUUUUGCCGGGUCUACCUCUGUCACGUCCCGACCGCACGACCCGAAAACGGUACCUAUUUGGUCCAUUUCGAGGGCGGCAGGCGUGAUGCCGAACGGACAGAGUCUCCCCUAUCCGCCCAAGGCUAACCAACGAGAUUGUGUACAACAAGUCUCCAGGAAAAACAACUUGAUUUCAUACACAAUCAAAUAACGAUAACACAAAAAGUGUUAAAACCAUCGAGAGCAAGCGAUACUAGUAAAAGCAUACAAGUAUACAAAAGAGAGAAACUUAACUAUUUGAACCAUGAAAUUUAAAGCAUUUAAAUACCACUUGCAUUAAACUCUUUAAACCAUCAUACAUUGUUUUUCAAUCUUUUCCAAAAUGUAAAUACAUCAAGUACUCUCCAAAACCUCACCCUAUACAACAUCUGCUCUCAAAAUAUAAGCACAGGGUGAACUAAUGCAAGUAGGAAAGUAAGCUAUCAACUGGUACCACUAGGGCGCCAAGCCCUUGCCGCGAUCCUCCCGCUCGGUCGGGACCCUCGAACUAGCGCCUGCAACAACGGGUGUGAGAACUACGAAUAGUUCCCAGUGGGUUCGGCCGCCGACUCCACCGAUCUACCCACUAGGUCGAAGCAGGNUGCGCAGUGCUUGUACCGGUACAAGACCCCCUUGUACCGGUACAAGGCCUGGCAGCCCCCCAAACCGAGAGUUGCGAUGGUUGUACCGGUACAGCAGCUCCAGAAUGCUGUUUUCACUUCUCUUCGGCUCUACUUCGCGCCGAUCGAUGUCAAAACCAUUCCAACUCCUUUGGAACUCAUUUUUGCUCUUCCAAACUUGUUGGAAUACCGAAUGGAAUUUGUCCAAACCGUUCAAUUGCCCACUUUGGUCCAUUUGGCCAAAGUUAGCCACAAACCAUCAAGUUUCAAUAUCUCACAACUUCCUUCUUAGUUUCUACACAUUCUACUCUUCCUACUGAGCCUACCACUUUUCAUGAAGCUUUUCAGGAUGCAGGUUGGCAUGCUGCCAUGGCUGAAUAAUUUGAUGCAUUACUCAGCAAUGAUACUUGGGACCUUGUUCCUGCUCCUCCUUCUGUCAAUCUUAUUGGUUGUAAAUAGGUCUACAAAGUCAAACAGAAGGCGGAUGGCUCUCUUGAGCAUCUCAAAUGNGACCUUGUUCCUGCUCCUCCUUCUGUCAAUCUUAUUGGUUGUAAAUAGGUCUACAAAGUCAAACAGAAGGCGGAUGGCUCUCUUGAGCAUCUCAAAUGUAACAUAUUGCAUCCCCGUAAAUCGUGCCGAGUUCCGUCGAAACGCACGGAACGCAGAGUGGAACAAGUUACAAUGGGUUCUAACUGUUUUGAAACCUUGGUAUAGUGUAAAGGAACCCGAGAGAGUAAAAUUAGAAAAGCUGGCCAAGUCCCAGAUUUUGGACUCUCGGGGACCGGUCCCUGAAGGAGAGACCGGUCCCCGUACGCGCAGCCAGCUGAAAAGUGUGGAAAAUCGGCUAAGUCUUGAGAGUGGUGCUCUCGGGGAUCGGUCCCUGCGGGGAAAGACCGGUCCCCGUAAGCGAAAAUUUUCCCCAGCGGCUUAGUCCUGGAAAACCUGCUCUCGGGGACCGAUUCCUGCGGGGAGAGAUCGGUCCCCGUAUGCGAAAAAUGCCCAGUGAGGGCUGAUUGGAAAUAACGAAAUGAGAGGGGUUUAGAUGCAAAUGUGACAUGGUGAAUGGUUAAGUGUGAGAGGGCUUGUGGUCUAGGGCUCAUUUCUCACACCUACACCAAAACACUCUUCUCUCUCUCUCUCUAAAAACCUUCUUUCUCUCUCUCAUUCUCUCUAGAGCUUGGAUCAAGGGAGUGAUUUGGAGGAGCAAAGCUUGGAGAAGAAGCUUUCCAAGGUGGUGGCUAGCUUGUGAAGAACUUUUGAAGGAAAGCUUGGGACUCUAAGGUGAGUUUCCAUGAUUUUGAGUUAGGGUUUUGGUGUUUGCUUCUAGUUGAAGCAUCUAGGAGCUUCUAUAGAGGAUUUCCUCCAUGAUUAUGCAAGCUAGGGGCUUGUUUGGAGAAGAUAUUGUACAGGGACCUAAAGUUAGGGUUUUGUAAUUUUGAGGCCAAAGCUUGGGUUUGAUCUCUUUUUAAACUAAUUUGUAGGUCAACGAACGCGUUGGUGCGCUCGGUUCGGCAAUCUGACGAGCGUACGCGGAGAUAUUGAGGAAACAGGCUAAAUUGGUACAGAUCGUCGCAGCAAGCGGCGUAGAAGUCUAAAAGUCACAAAAAUUGGAUUACGGCAUCUUAGCAUCACCAAAAGGUGGGGGGUGCUAUCCGGAAAACACCGAAUUUCCUUCUAUGUCUAUGUUACCAUUAUUGAGCAUAUUGAUGUUAGCAUUCAUGCAUAUAGGGUAUUGUGAUGAAUAUGAUUGGUUGAGAUUCAAUUGUAUGCUAGAGAACAUAUGAAUUGAUAUAGAACCAUGUGAACUAAGACUGCGAAAAACCCUAUGUGUAUGUGAAUGUAUGAAAAAGAGACUAUGACAAUAAUAAACAAUGGCGACAUUGACAUUAGUGACGAGAUUGGCACUGAGAAUAAGAACGGCUAAACAAGGUUUAACCUAGAAUGGCAUCAGGACCAUUGUGGCUCAGGUAUAGUGGAAAUGUGAUAUGGUAAUAACCUAUCAUCGGCAUUGAGGCUUUGUGCAUUGAGACAGGUUUGGCUACGUCCUCAAAUUGAGGAUUGGAUCGUACUCACGCAUUGGUUCCGGCUUGAGGGAGGUAGCUCCUCCUCAAGCGUUGUACUCCGGAGUGUAGACACCACGGGGAGAGUGCCCCGGCGAAGAUCCCUCGGGCGGUAGUGCCAAGUGCCUCCCCCGGUAGACAGGAUGUGUGGAUUGUGAGUUUGGGGUGAACCAGGUGUACCCCGUGAUAAUUGGGUAAAGGCCAAAAUGAAUGAGGAAAAGAACAUGCAUGCAUAUUUAUCAUGUAUUUGAUUAUCUAUCUGUUGAUAGCUUUCUUGCAGGCAUUGUAAUAGUUUUGCAUUAGUUGGUUUGUAAUCUAUCAUUUCUUGAAUUACAUAUGCCUGAAUUGACCUAGUGGGCGAGUCGGCGCGGUCGGCGGCCGAACCCACUGGGAACUUCUUUUAGUUCUCACACCACCACUAACCCUGCAGAUCCAUGCGCGAGCGGGGCGGCGGAGGAUCGAGGCACGGGUAUCGCGCUGUAGAUAGCGGCCCUCGGAGUAUAGGCAUACCCUAUAUGAUAUAGCUUCAACUUUUGUAUGUUGAUUAGAGGAAUGAUGUAAACCUUUUAUUUUGGUUAAAGGACAAUGUGAUGUAAAUGAAUGGAUAAGAAUGAAUGUAAAUGGUAAUACUUGUGUUUGAUUAAAAUGUAAUCAAAUGACUUGUAUGUUGAAUGUUUAGUGAAAU
rnacentral:lncRNA from 1 species